GACAUGCCUAUUUAGAUUUAAGGUUGUCUUGAACACAGCAGACUCCUUCCGCCACAAGCUUUGACAGAAGAGACAAAAUGCAGCGGGUAUCUUUGGCAUUGGUCAUUUUCACCAUUGCAAUAAUUACAAUCCAAUCUGUGCCAAUAGAAACAAGUGGUGAAAUGAUUGAGAAAACACAACAUGUCAGCAUGAGCCCGUUUCGCAGGAGACGGGGGACUGAUGACUCAUUCAAGAAACCCUCACGCUCCUGCUCUGGCUGCUACUCUGUCAUAGGAGACCCCACUGCAACAUGAUCAUCACGCUAGUGAGGAGCUGGUUUCACUUUUCCAGGGGACAAAUCAACAAACGCGGAAUCACCAGAAACUCCACUCCAAAGAGCAA